GACGAACGCUGGCGGCGUGCUUAACACAUGCAAGUCGAACGGAAAGGCCCUGCUUUUGUGGGGUGCUCGAGUGGCGAACGGGUGAGUAACACGUGAGUAACCUGCCCUUGACUUUGGGAUAACUUCAGGAAACUGGGGCUAAUACCGGAUAGGAGCUCCUGCUGCAUGGUGGGGGUUGGAAAGUUUCGGCGGUUGGGGAUGGACUCGCGGCUUAUCAGCUUGUUGGUGGGGUAGUGGCUUACCAAGGCUUUGACGGGUAGCCGGCCUGAGAGGGUGACCGGCCGCGGGGGGCGUGGGGGAGGCCCGACAGUGGGGGGGGGGGCAGGAGGGGGAAAUGGCGCACAAGGGGAGGAAGACGGAGGCAGCGACGGGGGGUGGGGACUGGCGGCGGUCGGGUUGUAACCCGCUGCCGCGUGGGACGGGGCGGGGUCGUCGGUCAUGGGAAAAGAAGCAACGGUUAACUGGGGGCCAGCAGCCGGAGUAAUAAUGUGAGAGGCACACGUGUAACC
rnacentral:rRNA from 1 species